UUCUGUACCGUCCCUCACUUAGAC
rnacentral:piRNA from 1 species